UACGGAGGGUGCGAGCGUUGUCCGGAAUCACUGGGCGUAAAGGGCGCGUAGGUGGCCCGUUAAGUGGCUGGUGAAAUCCCGCGGCUCAACUGCGGGGCUGCCGGUCAUACUGGCGAGCUAGAGCACGGUAGGGGCAGAUGGAAUUCCCGGUGUAGCGGUGGAAUGCGUAGAGAUCGGGAAGAAUACCAGUGGCGAAGGCGGUGAGCUGGGCAGUUGCUGACACUGAGGCGCGACAGCGUGGGGAGCAAACAGG
rnacentral:rRNA from 1 species